UGUGGGCAGAGCAGCCGGACUCAGCUGAGAGCAGGGGGUUGUGUGCUCCUCAAGCACCUACAAAACAGGGAAGAAAACCUUUGGCAAAGAUGUAGGAGAUGCACCUUUCCUUUCUAACAAGGAAGCCUAUGAUUUUCCAUCUUGGAUACCCCUGUAGUGCUUAUUGUUGUACUCACAAAUACCACUCACCCACUCGCAAGUGGCCUCCCUCCUCUGAGUGACAAGCUCCACAGCAGAACUUGUGAGAUGACCAGAGACGUGCAAUGAUUUACGUGGAUGACCCUGACUUGCUGCUCCUGUAAGUCUUUAAACAGCUCCACUUUCAGCUGCAAUAGCUUCCAGAAGAAUGUGGCAGUGCAGGUGGCUGCAGCCACUCUGUC